ACAGGCUUAUCGCGUCCAAGAGUUCACAUCGACGACGCGGUUUGGCACCUCGAUGUCGACUCAUCGCAUCCUGGGGCCGAAGUAGGUCCCAAGGGUCGGGCUGUUCGCCCGUUAAAGCGGUACGAGAGUUGGGUUCAAAACGUCGUGAGACAGUUUGGUCCCUAUCUGUUGUGGGCGGAGGAAAUUUGAGGGGAGUUGACCCUAGUACGAGAGGACCGGGUUGAACGGACCUCUAGUGUGCCGGUUGUCCCGCCAGGGGCAGCGCCGGGUAGCUAUGUUCGGAAAGGAUAACCGCUGAAAGCAUCUAAGCGGGAAACCUACCCCAAGAUUAGAUUUCCCUGCCGUAAGGCACUGAAGGUCCCCCGUAGACUACGGGGUAGAUAGGCGGGGUGUGAAAGAGCUGUGAGGCUUUGAGCUAACCCGUACUAAUCGACCGUGAGGCUUGACCAUUAUAU
rnacentral:rRNA from 1 species